UACGAAGGGGGCUAGCGUUGCUCGGAUUGACUGGGCGUAAAGGGCGCGUAGGCGGUUCGUACAGUCAGACGUGAAAUUCCUGGGCUCAACCUGGGGGCUGCGUUUGAUACGUGCGGACUUGAGUGCGGAAGAGGGUCGUGGAAUUCCCAGUGUAGAGGUGAAAUUCGUAGAUAUUGGGAAGAACACCGGUGGCGAAGGCGGCGACCCGGUCCGAUACUGACGCUGAGGCGCGAAAGCGUGGGGAGCGAACAGG
rnacentral:rRNA from 1 species